rnacentral:rRNA from 1 species
CCUACGGGAGGCAGCAGUAGGGAAUUUUCGUCCAUGGGCGCAAGCCUGAACGAGCAAUGCCGCGUGAACGAGGAAGGUCUUCGGAUCGUAAAGUUCUGUUGAUGGGGAAAAAGAGCGGAGAGAGGAACUGCUUUCUGAUUGAUAUUACCCUUCGUGGAAGUCACGGCUAACUACGUGCCAGCAGCCUCGGUAAUCCGUAGGUGGCGAGCGUUAUCCGGUAUGAUUGGGCGUAAAGGGUGCGUAGGCGUGCUGGUAAGUCUGGAGUGAAAGGUACCGGCUCAAACGGUACAGGCUCUGUAAACUGGCGGGCUAGGGAGCAGGAGAGGGCGGUGGAACUCCAUGUGUAGCGGGAAAAGGCGU